AGCUUAGUGACUAAGUUCUCAGGGUAUAGACUUUGCUCCUCUCCAUGAUUCUGGGUCAUUUGGUUGGUGUUUGAAGGUGUGAGAACAAUAUUAGACUGCAGAGUUGGGAGGAAUUUAGAAGAAAGCACUGUCUCUGCUUUGGUGAGUUUAAUUUGAAACUAAGAAGGAAGGGGAGGUGGAGAACUGCUGGCUUUCUGCUGAGUGUUCUGGGCCUAGGAGUCAGAGGGAAGGGUGGCCUGGGGAAAUAGCUCUCAUGGGCUGAAGAGAUCCGGUUAUUUCUCCAAAUUUACUCUCUUCUUUCCUAAUCUUUAAUUUUGAGUUGCACAUGAAUCUCCUGCUCCAAGAGAGAAACUGCUCUCCCUCAAAAGUAGAGCCAGGGCAGAGUUUGAAAACAAAAGUUUAAGAUUUAUCUGAGUAAUAAUGGAUUUACCCAUGAUUCUAUGGAUUCAUUCCCUAUGUUUCUGUCCCUGUGAUUAGAAGUCCUGACCUUCCUGCAGCUACCUAUUCAUGUAUGCCACUCCAACCUCAGUAGAAUCUGUGUGACAAGUUCCACAGACUGAGGUGAAAACUUCAAAAGAAGGAGGCCUCCUAGAACCAGUUGUGGAACUCUUGGCUGAAAUAAAAUAUUGAGCCCUAGUUCUCAUGGCAAUUUAUCUGUUUUAUCUUUUUUAUUCAUUUUUUUAUUUACAAGAUGUUCCUGAUAGCUUAGGCUAAGAUCUUAAGUAAGAAUAAUGGGUAAGAAACCAUCCCUUGAGAUGGGGUCACUAACCAUGGCCUUAUCUCUGGAAAAACCAACAUUUCACUUUAUAAAUCAUGCAUAAGAUAGAAUUGAUAACUAAAAACUUUCCCAACAAUAAAAUUUUACAUGGCUGCACAUGUAUCAUUGGAAAUAGGCUUUCGUAUAUUGUUUAAGAAAGCCUUAAAUAAAAAGAAUAAAAAUACUUCAAAUAUAUGCUUUGAAGAUUUACAGAAAAUCAGGUACUAGAUGUUAAACAACAACUGAUCAUAAAAAUGUAUUAACUUGUUCUUGGAAAUUUGCCACUAGCCUUAGAUGAUUUUUGUAUUUUACUAUGCCAAAUGAUUAUAAUAAUAUCUGUUCUACCUGACUGCUUCACUGAACACACUUUUCUUAGAAGUUGUAGUACUUGAAUGAGAGAGAGAGGAAGAAAGGGAGAAAGGGAGAGAGGAAGAAAGGGAGACAGACAGAGGCAGGCAGACAGACACAGGGAGAGACAGAGGGAGUAUGAGAGAGAAAAAACACUGGAGAAGCACACUUUCAGGAAGUGUCAGAUUUCUAUUCCUUUGGAACAUGAUGUCCCUAUAGAUCUCAUCCUAAACUCAUGGAAUUGUCCAGUGUCAGCCUCCACAGCUGCAGAGAUUACAGGUAAACAUUACUGCCCCAGGACUUUUCUACUGUUCAAGAAAUAAGCACCUGAUUGAGUUUAAUGAUAUAAAAGACUGAAAGAUAUCUGCUCAUAGAAAGACCUAGAGAAAUAAGAAAAAAAAAAGGGGACUUGGAGCAAAGAAUCCAGGCAUCACGCAAGCUAAUGUAGACAACAGAAGACACAGGUCAGGCCUGCUGGUGUCCAGGUUGGCUUUGAAGGUUGUCACCAGCCCAUCCUCUUCCCCUUUGCUCUCUCCAGCUCUUAGUUGUGGAAACCUGUGUUUUGAACUAGGGAAAUACCUGUUUACCACUAUAUAUAAGGAGAUAUUAAAAUGCACAUAUUAGAGUUGUCAAUUUUUAACUUUGAAAAUGUCUAGGCAGUACACAUUAAGCUGCUCCAGAUAAUACUACUCAGUAUAUAAAGCCUAGAACAAUUUAUUUGCCAGAAGUAUUUGAAAAAGGACCAUUUCUCAUAUGACAUCAGCAUCUUGAAAUUUCAUCAUCAGGAAAGAAACAUUUUUACGUUUUCCAGAGUUCCAAUCAACCAGGAAAUGGCGAAGACUCAACUCAAAUUAUAAUGAAGUGAAUUCAUUAGUGCUAGUAGCUCAAAGUCUUGAAGCCAAAUCAAAGGCUUGUCACCCAGAGGAGGCUGGGGGAGUGUAUUUAAAAGUGGACUUCAUAAAUGUCUCAUUUGUGUGGGAUGUGUAGCUGACAAACUCCUUGUACUCCCCUCAGAAGAGAGGAGCUGUUUCACUUCCUGUUACACAGCAAUACAUGGGCUCAAA
rnacentral:lncRNA from 1 species